GCAAAGGUUAUAUUGUAGGAGGACUAGAACCGUAGAAGGGAAAAGAAAGGGGCCCAACGCCUUUGCCUUUAUUCCCUUCAUAUAUUUCUCAGCUCCUUUGCCCCCUCCCUCUCACUGCCCACUGCCGCCGCUGCUCUCCCACUCCUCUACCCUCCUCUCCUCUGCUUCUCUGCCGCCCAGCCCAGCUUGCCUUCUCGAACAGCGCGAGCGCGCAGGCGAGGAGCAGCGUGUCCGUCCGUCCUUGCACUCUCUGCAGCCUCCCUCUCUCUCUACCCCGCCCAUCUCCCUCCCCAGGCCUUCAAAUCCGCGGCCGCGCCACCCGCUGCGCUGCUGCCCCGGUCCUUGCAUUGCUCGACUCGAGGCGCCCCAGCGCUGGUCGCCUCCGUGCCUUCCGCGGUGUUCCUGGGCGCGGCUCCUAGGCUCGCUCAUUUUACUUCUGCUGCUCCUGUGCUGCCUCUUGGGGGGCGUUCCUUUACGGCCCGGAGCAGCGCCUAGCUGCUUCCGCCAUUGAUCCGGCAACCCCAGCUCUAGGUUUGCUUUGCUCUCGUGUGUGGUAGCGAUUCUGGUGUUGGGGGGGUGCCACCAACAGUUACAGGUUGUCGCCACGCCGAGGGUGUCGUCCUGCGUUCCUUUUUUUUAUCUUCUCUCCGUGAUCUCUCUAGCUGCAUCCUUGCCCCCCCUUCGCUCCUUGCUUUCUUCUCUGCGCUGCCUUUGGUGUGUUGCCAGAUAGCUCCCGGGACUUCACCGGUUCGCUAACCGGCACCGGCCCAUAGUCUGCGGACAAACAGGGGCCAGUUCGGCCUAUUUCAUUUCACAAAAGGGGGCAAAGAUUAGGCGGCGGAAUCCUGUUCUUUCCCGAUUCCUUUUGGACAUACUGCUCGAGAGGAAGUGAAAGCGCGCAACUUUGGAGGUUCCGAGGAGGGAGGAACACAUCCCUUGCAGCUGCAUGAGGAGGCAGGCAUUGAUACAAUGAGAGAUGACGGUUCAAGCAAGAACAAGCUGUCCUGGUCCAAGACCCUUGUUAGGAAGUGGUUCAACAUCAAAACAAAGGCGAAGGACUUCCAUUCGGAUUAUGCAGCUGAGGAAGUCGGAGUGCAGUGGAGGACCAGCAGCUUCUCUGAUAGAGAUGCAUGUAAAUCCAAGAAAAGUAGGACAGAGAGGUUGCCUAAGAGGAAUGUGGAGCGAGAUGGUAGAGUAGGGAACGGAUUUGAUGGUGCCUAUAUUACAAACACACAGGACUACAGGGUCUUCGUUGGUACAUGGAACGUGGGCGGAAGGUCACCAUCUAGUCAUUUGAAUCUGGAAGACUGGCUUCACACUUCUCCUGCUGCUGAUAUAUAUGUGAUAGGGUUUCAGGAAAUUGUUCCCUUGAAUGCUGGUAAUGUUCUAUUGACUGAAGACAAUGGUCCAGCGAGGAAAUGGGUCUCUCUUGUUAGAAAAACUCUGAAUAAUCUUGAUCAGCAAGGCUCUGGUGUCUAUAAUUACCACACCCCCUCACCAGCUCCGGAUCCAAUCGUGGAGCUCAAUGUUGACUUCGAGCGAUCGUCAAGAAGACAAAGGAACUCGUCGUUUUUCCAUCGGCGUUCGUUCCAAUCCUUCAACCGUAGCUCAAGGAUCGACAUGAUGGAUCCACACUCGUUAGUGGACCGUCGAUUCAGUGUCUGCGACAGGAUUAGCUUCGGGAGCAGGCCGAGUGAUGUUGACACUAGCAUGAGGUGUGGUGGGUCGUCUGAUGAUGAGAACAUUGACGAGGAAUCACCUAGCGGUAUAUUCUUCCCACCGAUGCCAUGUGCAUAUGGUGCUCCACUGUGCACUGGUUCUAGGUAUUGCUUAGUUGCCAGCAAGCAAAUGGUUGGAAUUUUCCUCAUGGUGUGGGUGCGAAGCGAUAUAAGGGAGCAUGUGAAGAACUUGAAGGUUUCAUGUGUCGGUAGAGGUCUGAUGGGCUACCUUGGGAACAAGGGAUCCAUAUCAAUCAGUAUGUCUCUGCAUCAGACAAGCUUCUGCUUCGUUUGCACCCACUUAACGUCAGGCCAAAAGGAUGGAGAUCAACUUAGACGAAAUGCGGAUGUGGUGGAAAUCCUGAGGAAGACCAGAUUCCCGCAUGUCCAUGGAGCAGGCGACAGGAAGUCACCAGAGACGAUUCUGGAUCAUGAUCGUAUUAUUUGGCUCGGGGACCUGAACUACCGGAUAGCUCUUUCGUAUCGCUCAGUGAAGGCUUUAGUUGAGAUGCACAGCUGGAAACAGUUGCUGGAGAAGGACCAGCUUCGCAUAGAGCAGAGAUUUGGUCGGGUCUUUGCAGGCUGGAAAGAAGGAAGGAUUUACUUUCCUCCCACCUACAAGUACUCAUACAACUCCGAUAGAUACGCUGGCGACGACAUGCACCCGAACGAGAAGCGAAGGACUCCGGCAUGGUGUGACCGGAUUCUAUGGUACGGGCGAGGCCUGUCCCAGCUAUGCUACGUGCGCGGCGAGUCUCGGUUCUCGGAUCACAGGCCUGUGUACAGCAUAUUCACGGCGGAGGUUGAGAUUCCGAGCCAGUCAGCUGCUCACUUCGGCGGCAUCACUCGUUCCGCGUCUCUCCUGGGGCUGGACGAGCUGCCACCGUACCAGACUUAUCCACGCAGUUACAUGGACAUAAACUUCUACUGACCGGUCAUCGUCUCGACGGGGAGGACGGGGCCAGCAGCCAGCCAAGAGUUGCAGACAGACAUUCCUCGCUACCUGAUGAGUGGCAGGGCAGGCCUUCUGACGACCGACUGACUGACUGACUGGGGGUUCGUUUCUCCCAAGGUUCAGUUCCAUCGGUCGGAAAUCGGAAUGUUUGGUAGCUAGCAGAUGUGACUCCUUUCGCCAUGCGUUUCUGUGCACCUGGCGCCUGGACUCUUGCUGCUGCUGUCCUGCAUGCCAUUGACGCCCCCAACUCCUACGCCGUGCCGUCUUCAGCGUGCAGAAUAGAUACUCGAGGAGAUCAAUGCUUUCCGAGCGUGAGAUUGUUGCUAGGAACAUUUGCACAGCUAGUUUUGUUGAAUCAUAACCAUCUGCGUGUCCCGAUUUACUACGGGAGAAAGAAGAAGGAGAAGAAAAAAAGGAGUUUGGUUCUUGCUUUUGGUGUCCUGAUGUAAUGCAACGAGGGCCGCGCCAUGGGCUCAUUCAAAUGUUUUCUUUUUUUUGUUUUAAUAGUCCGAGGAAUGAAAUGAUGGCUUGUACAGCAAACUGUUCCAGUAAACCCGGCCUCUGUUCAUGCUCGCGGCGAAA